rnacentral:rRNA from 1 species
UUGGAGGGCAAGUCUGGUGCCAGCAGCCGCGGUAAUUCCAGCUCCAAUAGCGUAUAUUAAAGUUGUUGCAGUUAAAAAGCUCGUAGUUGAAUUUUGGGCCUGGUUGGGUGGUCUUGCCGCAAGGUAAGCACUGCUCCGAUCGGGUCUUUCCUUCUGGGGAACCAGCGUGCUCUUAAUUGGGUGCGUUGGGGAUCCAGGACUUUUACUUUGAAAAAAUUAGAGUGUUUAAAGCAGGCCUACGCUUGAAUACAUUAGCAUGGAAUAAUAGAAUAGGGCUUUGGUUCUAUUUUGUUGGUUUCUAGGACCGAAGUAAUGAUUAAUAGGGAUAGUUGGGGGCAUUAGUAUUUAAUUGUCAGAGGUGAAAUUCUUGGAUUUAUGAAAGACUAACUUCUGCGUAAGCAUUUGCCAAGGAUGUUUUCAUUAAUCAAGAACGAAAGUUAGGGGAUCGAAGACGAUCAGAUACCGUCGUAGUCUUAACCAUAAACUAUGCCGACUAGGGAUCGGACGAUGUUAUUUUUUUGACUCGUUCGGCGCCUUACGGGAAAC